rnacentral:tRNA from 1 species
AGGGAAUUAGCUCAAGUGGUAGAGCGCUUGCUUAGCAUGUAAGAGGUAGUGGAUCAAUGCCCACAUUCUCCA